rnacentral:rRNA from 1 species
UACGUAGGGUGCAAGCGUUGUCCGGAAUUAUUGGGCGUAAAGAGCGCGCAGGCGGUCCUUCAAGUCAGAUGUGAAAUAUCCGGGCUUAACCCGGAGGGGUCAUUUGAAACUGGGGGACUAGAGUACAGCAGAGGAUAGCGGAAUUCCCGGUGUAGUGGUGAAAUGCGUAGAUAUCGGGAGGAACACCAGUGGCGAAGGCGGCUUUCUGGACAGUAACUGACGCUGAGGCGCGAAAGCUAGGGGAGCAAACGGG